CCUACGGGUGGCAGCAGUGGGGAAUAGUGCGCAAUGGGCGAAAGCCUGACGCAGCGACGCCGCGUGAGGGAUGAAGGUCUUCGGAUCGUAAACCUCUGUCAGCAGGGAAGAACGGUCACUGGGCUAAGCAGCAGUGAAUUGACGGUACCUGCAAAGGAAGCACCGGCGAACGCCGUGCCAGCAGCCGCGGUAAUACGGAGGGUGCGAGCGUUAAGCGGAAUUACUGGGCGGAAAGCGCGCGUAGGCGGUAUGUCAAGUCAAGGGUGAAAUCCCCGCGCUCACCUUGGGAACUGCCUGUGAAACUGGCAAACUGGAGUGUGUGAGCGGCUAGUGG
rnacentral:rRNA from 1 species